CAUGAAUGAUGACAAAAUGUUUCCCAUAUGACUGACACUAAUUAUAUCGUUAAAAAAAAAGAUUUCACUCAUG